AGCGAACGCUGGCGGCAGGCCUAACACAUGCAAGUCGAGCGCCCGUAGCGAUACGGGAGCGGCAGACGGGAGAGUAACACGUGGGAACGUACCCUUUGGUCGAACAACACAGGGAAACUUGUGCUAAUACCGGAUAAGCCCUUACGGGGAAANAUUUANCGCCAAAAGGAUCGGCCCGNGUCUGAUUAGCUAGUUGGUGGGUAACGCUCACCAAGGGCACGAUCAGUAGCU
rnacentral:rRNA from 1 species